rnacentral:tRNA from 1 species
CAAGGAAGAACAGAAAAUAGUAAGUACUGCUAAUCCUUAUCUACCAAGGUUAAAGUCCAUGGCUUCCUU